rnacentral:rRNA from 1 species
GAUGAACGCUGGCGGCGUGCCUAAUACAUGCAAGUCGAGCGAACAGACGAGGAGCUUGCUCCUCUGACGUUAGCGGCGGACGGGUGAGUAACACGUGGAUAACCUACCUAUAAGACUGGGAUAACUUCGGGAAACCGGAGCUAAUACCGGAUAAUAUAUUGAACCGCAUGGUUCAAUAGUGAAAGACGGUUUUGCUGUCACUUAUAGAUGGAUCCGCGCCGCAUUAGCUAGUUGGUAAGGUAACGGCUUACCAAGGCGACGAUGCGUAGCCGACCUGAGAGGGUGAUCGGCCACACUGGAACUGAGACACGGUCCAGACUCCUACGGGAGGCAGCAGUAGGGAAUCUCCCGCAAUGGGCGAAAGCCUGACGGAGCAACGCCGCGUGAGUGAUGAAGGUCUUCGGAUCGUAAAACUCUGUUAUUAGGGAAGAACAAAUGUGUAAGUAACUAUGCACGUCUUGACGGUACCUAAUCAGAAAGCCACGGCUAACUACGUG